GACAGCAGUAGCCGCGGUAAUACGUAGGGUGCGAGCGUUAAUCGGAAUUACUGGGCGUAAAGCGAGCGCAGACGGUUACUUAAGCAGGAUGUGAAAUCCCCGGGCUCAACCUGGGAACUGCGUUCUGAACUGGGUGACUAGGGUGUGUCAGAGGGAGGUAGAAUUCCACGUGUAGCAGUGAAAUGCGUAGAGACGUGGAGGAAUACCGAUGGCGAAGGCAGCCUCCUGGGAUAACACUGACGUUCAUGCUCGAAAGCGUGGGUAGCAAACAGGAUUAGAUACCCCAGUAGUCCCUGUCUCUUAUAC
rnacentral:rRNA from 1 species